GGAUUGAAAAAUUAACAGCAAUGAAACAGGCAUGCAUUGCAGGUAAAGUUAGAUAUUAGGACAAUCUGUUUAAAUCUAGCUCAUGAUGUUUUACCCUGGUGAAUAUGAUUCAACCAUAUAUGAUUAAAAAAUAUAUAUUAUGUGUUACUACUGCAAUGCAACAUUUGUCCUACCAUAACCCUAACCCAUGGCCCGUCUUCAUACAGCGAAAUGAUUUGAACACAGGGCUUUUUUUAAGAACUUGUCUGGGGGGUGGGCAUCUACAAAAAGGGACCAUACUAUACUGAGUGUGGAGAGAUGACAGAUGGUUGUUGGUGACAAAAAGUUUGGUGUGGUAUUGUAUGUAUUAGUAGGGGGGGUCUGGGGAAAAUUUUUUUGUAUUUUUCCCCAGGACUGAAAUGUGAGCAUUUUCUGAAACAGAUUUUUGGAUAUACAGCGUUACAUUGUGCUUUGAUAGACCGAAUCUGAUCAGUCAAGUGUACUUGCAUGGUAUGUUUAUGUAAAUACCACAGCUGGGUCACUCAGGGGGUAGGAAGCUUGUUAAACUUAGUGGGCACCACUCCCACUAAGGCACUACCAUGGUUGGCACAGAGCAGGGAAAUUUUGAAAAUUUUGAGUCUCUAGAUCAUUGGAAAUGGCAUUUUCAGAGUCUUCUUUUUUGCUAUUUGUGAUUAUAGAAACCAAAACUCUAGACAUGGUAUUUAAGUUCAAAAACUUUUUUACCCCCCCCCCCUUUCUCUGUGUUAAAACUUUUUUGACCCCCCUAUUUAUAAGGGUAAAACUUUGUUUACCCCCCCUCCCAUUUACCACCCCCCCCAUAAAUAAUGACCACUCCCUAAGUAGCAUGUUAUUGUUGGCAUCUUGGAUCAAUUUAAUAAAUAUAUAAAUAGACAUCUUCUUGUUUUAUUGUUGCAUCAAUUUUAAUUGGAAAAAAUAUUCACAAACUAGAUCAAGUAUAUGGAUAAAUUAUUCAUUUACUAAAGUACAUUGUUACAGUUAUUUAUGCGACCUCGUACCCAGAGUCCUUCCUCUUGGGGAGAAAAAACCCCGGUAGAUGCUGGUCACGUGAUCUGCUAAAAUCUAGCAGAUUUCUAAUUAACUAUCUUGAAUUCCUUUAUGACAAUCAUAUACAAAAUGCAAAUUAUAAAUUAACAUAUAAAAAUCAUCCAAAUAUCAAAUAUUUA